AGUUCGAACUUCAGAUUAUGCAAGGUGAGAAUACAUAUGUUGUUGAAUCUUUGAUUGAAUUCAAUGCAUGAGCAUGCUCUUACACGUAACCUAAAAAUAUAAUAGUGUAAAGACCAAAACACCCUCAAGACAAAUGACAAAAAAAAAACAACAUUAAAGAAAAAAAAAUUGAGAACCACAAGAGAACAUAAAUCUUAUCUCCAUAAGAGUCAUAUCUCUAAUCUGAUAACCUUCAAAAUAAGGACAAAAAGAGGGAAAUGAAGGAGAAGGAGAAGAAACGGAGAAAAGUGGCUCACCUCCUCUUUCCUCCCCCUUUGUUCUUAUGUGUUGUUUUUUCUAAGUUAAAGGUCCCACUUGAAUGCCUUUUUCUUCAUGGAAGAGGACUCUUUCUCCCUCUUUCUUCUCUACCUAUAUCUAAUAAGUUAAUAAGCUAAUAAUAAGUGCAAGGAGAUUCAUGGAGAGGCAUGCAUUGUAUUCAUAUUACAAAGUGGGGACAAUCAAGUGACUACCAUUUCUCACACCUAUUCAAGUUCAGUGUUAUCUACAUCUUUUGCAUGGUGUGAGAAACGGAGGAAAGUUGGAAGAAAGAUAAUAAUCAGUACACAACUUGUCUUUUGUUUUAUUUUGCUUCUAUUUGUAUUAGGUGUCAAGAGGAGAAAGAAAGAAGAAAAUAAAUGUAUGCAUAAAAUUAUUUAGUGAAAAUACACUUUUUCAUUUU